GUGGUUUCAAUGUUGAUGAGACUGUCAAAGUAUCUACAGAAGUAGGAGGUUUCCUUGGCUGAUGCUUACUCUAGGGUAGCUGUAACCAUGAAAGGCCUUGUGACCUUGAAGUCAGUAUGGAAAUGGUGAGGUCAAAAUUUUGUGUGGCCACUUCAGAGAUGUCCUCAAGUUUGACAGUGAGGAAAUUGUUCUGGAGGAUUGGAAACUUCUGCGAGACCAUGUGUAUAAAAAGUAUCCAGACUCCCUAGAAGGCGUGAAAUGGCCAGACAUAUUCCGUCUGAUGCAUGGACGGGAUGUUGAUUUGGCCCUAAAGCUUGUGGAACUGGUGCUGGCGCUGCCACCGACUUCUGUUAAAAAUGAGACAACAUUCAGUGCAAUGAAGCUUAUCAAGCAUAAGAGAAGGGGAAAGAUGAGCACUGAUACAUUAAAUGAUUUGGUCGCCAUCCACCUUGAGGCCCCCAGCAUUGCCCUAUUCAACCCAGAUGAUGCCAUAAUGGAGUGGAUGACAAGCAGCACUGGUAGACGUUUGGGGUAUUAUCGAAAGAGGAAGGUACCAGAGGAUGAGUCACAGGUCACAGACAUGACAGCACCAGGUCCAU